AUUGAACGCUGGCGGCAUGCCUUACACAUGCAAGUCGAACGGUAACAGGUCUUCGGAUGCUGACGAGUGGCGAACGGGUGAGUAAUACAUCGGAACGUGCCUAGUAGUGGGGGAUAACUACUCGAAAGAGUGGCUAAUACCGCAUGAGAUCUACGGAUAAAAGCAGGGGAUCGCAAGACCUUGUGCUACUAGCGCGGACGAUGGCAGAUGCGGUAGUUGGUGGGAUAAAAGCUUACCAAGCCGACGAUCUGUAGCUGGUCUGAGAGGACGAUCAGCCACACUGGGACUGAGACACGGCCCAGACUCCUACGGGAGGCAGCAGUGGGGAAUUUUGGACAAUGGGCGAAAGCCUGAUCCAGCAAUGCCGCGUGCAGGAUGAAGGCCUUCGGGUUGUAAACUGCUUUUGUACGGAACGAAAAGCCCCGGGUUAAUACCCUGGGGUCAUGACGGUACCGUAAGAAUAGACACCGGCUAACUACGUGCCAGCCGCCGCGGUAA
rnacentral:rRNA from 1 species